AGAGACUAUGACGAUUGGAAAAGACACCAGCAAGAGAAGCAGGAACACAGAAAAGAUAUGGUUUGUAAUUAGCCUUCUGGAAUCUCUGAAUCCCUGAAAAGAUUUAUUGGAAGCUGAUCACCACAAAGAUUAGACUGGGGUGCUCUGAUUGGUGCUGCUGAGUGUAAUACAGUGCUGAAGAAAAUUAACACACAAUUUUAAAAACUGUGUCAAGAAAAGUGCAACUUCUUUGUAGAGCCAUCAUAAGAACAGUCUGAUAUACAAACUUCAAGUUGUUUUACUCAAGAGAUUUUGAUGACAACUAGUACGAACCCUAAAAAGAGGA